rnacentral:rRNA from 1 species
UACGUAGGGGGCAAGCGUUGUCCGGAAUCAUUGGGCGUAAAGCGCGUGUAGGCGGUUCGAUAAGUCUGCUGUGAAAGUCCAGGGCUCAACCCUGGGAUGCCGGUGGAUACUGUCGGGCUAGAGUGCGGAAGAGGCGAGUGGAAUUCCUGGUGUAGCGGUGAAAUGCGCAGAUAUCAGGAGGAACACCGAUUGCGAAGGCAGCUCGCUGGGACGUAACUGACGCUGAGACGCGAAAGCGUGGGGAGCAAACAGG